UAAGGUAGAUUCUGAAUCUAACGUAAUGACU
rnacentral:piRNA from 1 species